rnacentral:rRNA from 1 species
GAUGAACGCUGGCGGCGUGCCUAAUACAUGCAAGUCGAGCGAACAGACGAGGAGCUUGUUCCUUUGACGUUAGCGGCGGACGGGUGAGUAACACGUGGAUAACCCACCUAUAAGUCUGGGAUAAUUUCGGGAAACCGGAGCUAACACCGGAUAAUAUACUGAACCGUAUGGUUCAAUAGUGAAAGACGGCUUUGCUGUCACUUAUAGAUGCAUCUGCGCCGCUUUAGCUAGUUGGUAAGGUAACGGCUUACCAAGGCGACGAGGCGUAGCCGACCUGAGAGGGUGAUCGGCCACCCUAGAGCGGAGACACGGACCAUACUCCUACGAGACGCAGCAGUCUGGAACCUUCCGCAGUAGGCGAAAACCUGGCAGAGCAGCGCCGCGUGAGUGGUGACGAUCUUCGGAUCGUGAAGCUCUGUUAUUAGGGGAGAACAACUGUGUAAGUAACUGUGCACGUCUUGACGGUACCUAGUCAGAAAGCCACGGCUAACUACGUG